AUCAAUAGCUAGUUACAUAUAUCUCGGGAAUAAAUUUGCUUUGAUAAACAUUAUACAGUGUUCUUGUCAUUUGUUUGGUCUCGUGUUUUGUUUUAAGUGUCAAUUAUCCUCAUAUUAAUAUGAAGUUGGUCGCGUUCAUCUGUACGCUGUUGGUGGUAGCCUGUCAAGCUAACAAUGGAGCGACGCCAACUACAGUAAACAAUUACGUAGAAACCCGCAACAACAAUUACAAUAUAAAUUACAACAAUUACAACUUAAAUAACAACAUGUACAACCCGUACGCGUAUUACAACAACAUGCAACAACAAUACCAAAACGCUAUGUUUGGUCCUUAUUAUAGAGCGUACAGACCAAAUCUUGUUGAGGGCAUACUUCAUACUGUUUCUGACACUGUGUGGAACAUUGGAAGCCUCAUUGGACAACGACGUUACUAAAAUAUAUUAUAUAAAUAAUGACAGUAGCAUAUUAAAUUACCUACCUUCGUAAAAGGUUAGGCUGUUAAUUGAACGGCUAAUUAAGCUAGUUGGCUGCGACAUAAUGAUUCGAUUCGGGGAAACAGUUUUCGAUGGCAGACCAAAAACAUUUUUUGCUUUUUGUUAAUUUAAUUAUGUACAAUGUUAAUAGAAGUAACUUUUCUUUUGCAUAUACUGUAAUAAAUAAGAAUGAAUAAAUAUCUAGUAAAAUUUAAUUUUGUAUAAAAUAUAAUAAUAUUAAGAAUUAUACUUGAGUGAUUA